GCAGGAUGGAAAAGAAACCCCACAGAGCACCCGCCAUGACAGCAGCUCUGAGGAGUCAGGCCUACGGCCCGGAAGCCCUACUCUGCCGCAAGGCCGCUACAGCGGCCGCCGCCGUCGCCCGCCGAUGUCGUCAUCACCGCGAGCCGGAUCCAGCCCCGAGCUUGUCCGCGCCCCCGGAGAGUUGUGACAGCUGACUGACUAAUCAGGAGAAGGCACUCAGAAUCGAUGCUCGGAAUGGGCUUGAGCUUAAAAGGGCAAGACCUUAUCUAUCAGGCCUGAUUCCUAAUGAGGAGAGAGCAAAACACGGGACAUGCAUAUUCAGACAAAAAACACCGUGUGGAGAAGAGAUCUCAGGAGAAACCAACUGCCAGCAUCUCCCUCUGGGAUUCCCACGUGCUGGAACUGUGAGAAAGCUGCACUGGUUCUGAAAAUGAAGAGAGGAACCUGGGAAUUGCUUUUACUGUAGGAGCAAGAGUGGAUGAAGACAAGCUGCAAACACCUACUGAGAUCUGUCUUCCCACGUCUACCUUAUACCUUUGUCUACUGUCCCUUACCAAAGCAUUUAGUAUUUGGAAACCCUCAACUGUCAAGCACAGGACUCCACUCAUUGACUGGAGGAGACAAGUCUGAGGGCUCAUUUCAGACAAAGGCAACUGGUAUGAGCAUGUCAUGAAGCUGGAAGAGGACUAGGAUGGCUGAUGAAAUAUUAGCUUAGAGACUGUUCUCUUCAGACUCCUUCAGUAAUGAGCUCAAGGUCACCCACCACUCAGGAGCUGAGGUGCAAAGGCCAAGGACAGAACUGAAGUGUGUACUGCAAGCUCUCGGCUCUCAGGAGACCCUACUUUCGGAAAUCAUAUAAUCCAGCGCUGUCUGAAUAACCAAAUACUCUUUAGACGAUGAAAUCUCUCAAUGCAGCUGUAAUAAAUAAGCAUCUACAUCCUUAAAGGAGGAAAGAAACAUCCCAUUAGUUAAUUAAGCAAAUACAAAUGCAAUCAACCUGC